GUUCUUAUGAGAUUGUCAGAGCUGAGGGAGAAAAAACUCUAAUGUGCCUGUUCCCUCUUCUGUAUUGUCUGUUGAAACAGAUUGACUCCACCUCAGCCUGAGAAAACAUCCUCUGAGGAGUGGGAACGGAGAGAGAAGUCAUUCCAUCUGAAUUUGUGUCUGCAAGCAGCUCUCUGUGGGAGUGAAUCUUUACUCACCACUGUCAGGACACUGCUUACACUCUCCAGUGUUGACAAUGAAUCUGAUCUCCUCUUAGAUCUGUACUCUCAUUUUAGAGACUAUGAGUCACAAACUGGCAGGAGUCUCAUUUCAACACUACUGCCUGUUUACCACUCAGCUCCUGCAGUCUGGUCCAUAGACCUCUCAAAGAGAAAGGCCUCCAUCUUCCUAGAGGUGCUGAAACUCCAAACACAGAAGAGACCAGUAGAGCUGAGAGGCUGGUCAGAUGAAGAGAGUGAAGUCAGGAGUUUCCUUCAGUGUCUGCCCUACAUCUCACAACUGAGUUUCUAUCCAGAUGAGGGUGAAAAGAGAAUACAGUCAUUCCACAUGAAUCUGUGUGUUCAAGCAGCUCUUGAUGGCAAUUCAUCGGCAGUCACCACAGUACAGGCAUUGCUGAGGUCUUAUGUUGAUGGAUCUGCCUUUAUUCACUUCCUGAUGGAGCUAUACUCACAUGUGAAGACCUGUGAGGCUCAAAAGGGCAGGAAGCUUCUUCCAACAUUGCAGCCAGUUUUCCACUCAGCUCCUGCAGUCUGGUCCGUAGACCUCUCAGAGAGAAAGGCCUCCAUCUUCCUAGAGGUGCUGAAACUCCAAACACAGAAGAGACCAGUAGAGCUGAGAGGCUGGUCACAUGAAGAGAGUGAAGUGAGGAGUUUCCUUCAGUGUCUGCCCUGCAUCUCACAACUCAGAUUUGAUCAGGAGGUAAAACAAAAGAAGUCAAACACAAUAAUCCAGUUCCUGGUGACUCUCAGCGUAGCAGCAGCUGAACGUGAUUCAACCUCAGGAGAGGGUUUAUUUAAGCUCUUAUCAUCUGCCUGCCGCUGCUACUUCUUUCCUUAUGAGAACUAUGCUGAUGAUAAUGCCAUUCAGAGUGAUUUCUUGCUGGAUCUAUACCUCCAUGCUCAGGCCUGUGAAGCUGAAACAGCCAAGAGUCUCCUUUCAACAUUGAAGCAGAUUUACCAUUUAGUUCCUGCAGUCUGGUCCAUAGACCUCUCAGAGAGAAAGGCCUCCAUCUUCCUAGAGGUGCUGAAACUCCAAACACAGAAGAAACCAGUAGAGCUGAGAGGCUGGUCAGAUGAAGAGAGUGAAGUGAGGAGUUUCCUUCAGUGUCUGCCAUACAUCUCACAACUCAGAUUGCAUGGUGGCUGUGAGGCCCAGUCCCUCCUAAUGGAUUGUGCAGAUGUUGGGUCUAGAGAGGAACUGAUCCAUCUGGUCAAGUGUCUGGACUUUAAUCUCCAGCUGAAAGGGGACCUACACAACUCCAAGUGCAGGUCUUUGGGACGGGUGCUUAGCUGGGUACCCUACAAACUGGACCUCACUCUGACACCUGAGCACAUCUCUCUCAGGGGAAUCAGGCUGCUCUUCAGAGGGGUCUCUCACCUUCACAAACUCAGGUUGAAUGGCAAAAUACUGAUGAGAUUUGCCAGCGCGAUGAGGACAUCAGGAUUUGUGGCUCCAGUCACAGUUGAGGAGCUCAGCCUGGAGCUCGACAGCCUCAGCGUGUCUCAGAGAGCGCUGUCCAGGGUCCUGAGCAGUCUGUCUCUCCUCCUCAGGCUCUGGACUGUCCAAUGUCUGGAUCUGACAUCUUGCAGAGUCGAAGGUCACUCUCUCAUCAUUCUGCUCUGUCUACAGGACCCUCUUCAGCUCAGACUGAGUAAGGAAACUAUGCAGCAGCUGGUUAUGCUUGUGUCUGAAGCACAGGAAGUGGAAAUCACCCAGUCCUUCCUGAACAAGGUGGGAGGAGACCUGACCUCCUGCACUUUGACCCAGGAAGUGCUUUUCUACCUGCUGCAGCACCACCCUGGACCUGUGACCGUGGACUUCAGGAAGAGCAAGAUCACAGAGACGAACAUUAGAGAACUCCUUCCUCUGCUGGACAGGAUACAAAUGAAGAGGCUCACUCCAGGCUUCGUGAGGUCUGCCAUCAGAGAGAUCUACCAGACUCGUUCUCCUCAGUAUGUGAGCAGCCUGCUGAGAUCUACAGAGAACUACAUCAACCUGACCACCAGAGGCCUGGAUGCUGCUGACUGUGCUGCCCUGCGUUUCAUCUUACAGCACGGCCAGGGUGUCAGACUCAACCUGAUGUGGACCUCCAUACCAGAGGGGGAGCUAGAGAGCCUCCUGCAGCUUCUCAGCAAUGUGUCUCAGCUCAGUGUUGACAGGCAGCUGCUGUUGAGGUUCCUCCACUGCUGCGAGUCCUCAGAUAUCCAGCAGGGGGCAGCAGCAUCCCUUCUUCAGGCUCUGCAGCACAGACUGGAUCUCUCCUGCUCAUCUGCUGUGAACCUGACAGAAGGUACAGAGGAACCACCUCUGCACCUGAGACCUGAGGACUGCAGGGUCAUCUCCAUGGUGAUCCAGAGUGUCAGCACCAAUGCUGAGCUCACUCUACUUGACUGUGACGUGGAGGAGGCGGGUCUAGAACACCUUUUCUCUGUUCUAGAAAAAGUCCAUCUGCGGUGCAGUAAGGACCAGUUGUUGCAGCUCCUGACUCUGGUGUGUGUGGGCUCUGAGAGAGAGUGUGUGAGGAGAGCCGUGUCUCUCUCCCAUGCUGUGGGUGGGGAGGUGGACCUCAGUCACACUGUGCUGGACACACGGGCUUGUGGAUCUCUGGCGCUGUUUCUGGAAUAUUCUGAAGGGCUGUCAGAACUGGACCUCAGCCACUGCCAGCUAACUGAUCAUUGCCUGGAACCACUGCUCCCACACCUGCACAAAACACAAGUCCUAGACCUCAGUAACAACAGCAUCACUGAUAAGGGGGCUCAGCUGAUCUACGAUACAGUCAAUGCCACAACUUCCAUUCAGACUGUACGGUGAGUGUAGACUAUACGAAUGCAAGUGUGUGCAGGAUAUAAUUUGGAUUGAAAAUUAUUGAGGUGUUUUCUUAUAUAUAUUAAUUUAUGUUAAUUUUAUUUGUCAAAUUUAGUGAAGACAAAACAUAUUCAUUUCUUUCUCUCCACAGGCUCUUCAACAAUGAGAUGAAUCACAAACAGCUCUACCAGGGAGACAAGCGCUUUGAGAUAUGGUGAUGGAGGUCUGCCUAUAUAACCACUGCAUCUGAUUGGAUGUGUCUCUUAUUCAUCUCACGCCAGAGGCGGAGAUCCCAUUUUAUUGUAGGGGGGGACAAUACAUGGUCAAAUUUCAGAGAGUAAUUCCGGGGGGGGGGGGGGGGGGGGGACAUGAAAAAAUUGCUUUCACGAGAGCUAGUAUAAACUGCUAAAUACCGAAUUCUCUUAUCACAUUUACAAACAGAAAUUCCAAGUCAUUUUAGAAUUCUCUAAACAGCAUUAUAUGUACUAACACGAAAUAUUUAUUUACAGACAAAUAAUGUCCAAAGUUCAAGAGAACUUGAUGCUCAAAAUAAGUUAUAAAACAGCUCAGGGACACUUCGAUAGGGAAUCGAACUGCCACCCCAUGUCGCAAUACCAGCAUAGUUAAUGGACCGCAGGAAAAGAUGACAUUAAUUUACCUUCAGAUAAUUUAACAAAUCUGGAGAGGCACUGAGAUGUAGACCUACGUUUAUUAACUAGCAUGAACCUGCCCCUGACAGGACAGUGUCCUAGACUGUCU
ensembl:lncRNA